AGAGCGAACGCUGGCGGCAGGCUUAACACAUGCAAGUCGAGCGGGCGUAGCAAUACGUCAGCGGCAGACGGGUGAGUAACGCGUGGGAACAUACCUUUUGGUUCGGAACAACACAGGGAAACUUGUGCUAAUACCGGAUAAGCCCUUACGGGGAAAGAUUUAUCGCCGAAAGAUUGGCCCGCGUCUGAUUAGCUAGUUGGUGAGGUAACGGCUCACCAAGGCGACGAUCAGUAGCUGGUCUGAGAGGAUGAUCAGCCACAUUGGGACUGAGACACGGCCCAAACUCCUACGGGAGGCAGCAGUGGGAAUAUUGGACAAUGGGCGCAAGCCUGAUCCAGCCAUGUCGCGUGAGUGAUGAAGGCCCUAGGUUGUAAAGCUCUUUUGUGCGGGAAGAUAAUGACGGUACCGCAAGAAUAAGCCCCGGCUAACUUCGCGCCAGCAGCCGC
rnacentral:rRNA from 1 species